rnacentral:rRNA from 1 species
GACGAACGCUGGCGGCGUGCUUAACACAUGCAAGUCGAGCGGUAAGGCCCUUUCGGGGGUACACGAGCGGCGAACGGGUUGAGUAACACGUGGGUGACCUGCCCUCAGCUCUGGGAUAAGCCUGGGAAACCGGGUCUAAUACUGGAUAUGACUCCAUGACGCAUGUUGUGGGGUGGAAAGCCUUGUGCGGCUGAGGAUGGGCCCGCGGCCUAUCAGCUUGUUGGUGGGGUGANGGCCUACCAAGGCGACGACGGGUAGCCGGCCUGAGAGGGCGACCGGCCACACUGGGACUGAGACACGGCCCAGACUCCUACGGGAGGCAGCAGUGGGGAAUCUUGCGCAAUGGGCGAAAGCCUGGCGCAGCGACGCCGCGUGAGGGAUGACGGCCU